rnacentral:rRNA from 1 species
GAUGAACGCUGGCGGCGUGCCUAAUACAUGCAAGUCGAGCGAACAGACGAUGCUCUUGCUCCUCUGACGUUAGCCGCGGACGGGUGAGUAACACGUGUAUACCCUACCUAUAAGACUGGUAUAACUUCGGGAAACCGGAGCUAAUCCCGGAUAAUAUAUUGAACCGCAUGGUUCAUUAGUGAAAGACGGUUUUGCUGUCACUUAUCGAUGGAUCCGCGCCGCAUUAGCUAGUUGGUAAGGUAACGGCUUACCAAGGCAACGAUGCGUAGCCGACCUGAGAGGGUGGUAGGCCACACGGGAACUGGGACACGGUCCAGAGUCCUACGGGAGGCAGCAGUAGGGAAUCUUCCGCAAUGGGCGAAAGCCUGACGGAGCAACGCCGCGUGAGUGAUGACGGUCUUCGGAUCGUAAAACUCUGUUAUUAGGGAAGAACAAAUGUGUAAGUAACUAUGCACGUCUUGACGGUACCUAAUCAGAAAGCCACGGCUAACUACGUG